rnacentral:rRNA from 1 species
GACGAACGCUGGCGGCGUGCCUAAUACAUGCAAGUAGAACGCACAGUUUAUACCGUAGCUUGCUACACCAUAGACUGUGAGUUGCGAACGGGUGAGUAACGCGUAGGUAACCUGCCUGGUAGCGGGGGAUAACUAUUGGAAACGAUAGCUAAUACCUCAUAAUAUUGAUUAUUGCAUGAUAAUUGAUUGAAAGUUGCUAUUGCAUCACUACCAGAUGGACCUGCGUUGUAUUAGCUAGUAGGUGAGGUAACGGCUCACCUAGGCGACGAUACAUAGCCGACCUGAGAGGGUGAUCGGCCACACUGGGACUGAGACACGGCCCAGACUCCUACGAGAGGCAGCAGUAGGGAAUCUUCGGCAAUGGACGAAAGUCUGACCGAGCAACGCCGCGUGAGUGAAGAAGGUUUUCGGAUCGUAAAGCUCUGUUGUAAGAGAAGAACGGGUGUGAGAGUGGAAAGUUCACACUGUGACGGUAUCUUACCAGAAAGGGACGGCUAACUACGUG